rnacentral:rRNA from 1 species
UAACACGUGAGUAACCUGCCCUUAACUCUGGGAUAAGCCUGGGAAACUNGGUCUAAUACCGGAUAGGAGCGCCNACCGCAUGGUGGGUGUUGGAAAGAUUUAUCGGUUGUGGNUGGACUCACCUCCUUAUCAGCUUGUUGGUGAGGUAAUGGCUCACCAAGGCGACGACGGGUAGCCGGCCUGAGAGGGUGACCGGCCACACUGGGACUGAGACACGGCCCAGACUCCUACGGGAGGCAGCAGUGGGGAAUAUUGCACAAUGGGCGNAAGCCUGAUGCAGCGACGCCGCGUGAGGGAUGACGGCCUUCGGGUUGUAAACCUCUUUCAGUAGGGAAGAAGCGAAAGUGACGGUACCUGCAGAAGAAGCACCGGCUAACUACGUGCCAGCAGCCGCGGUAAUACGUAGGGUGCGAGCGUUAUCCGGA